GAUGAACGCUAGCGGCAGGCUUAAACACAUGCAAGUCGAGGGGCAGCGCGGGGUAGCAAUACUCUGGCGGCGACCGGCGGAAAGGGUGCGUAAACGCGUGAGCAAACUUGCCCGUCACAGGGGGAUAAACCGGUGGAAAACGCCGACUAACACCCCGUAACACAUCGCGCUGCAUGGCGGGAUGUUGAAAAACUCUGGUGGUGACGGAUAGGCUCGCGUGCCAUUAGCUAGUCGGCGGGGCAAACGGCCCACCGAGGCGACGAUGGCUAGGGGUUCUGAGAGGAAGGCCCCCCACACUGGGACUGAGACACGGCCCAGACUCCUACGGGAGGCAGCAGUGAGGAAUAUUGGACAAUGGAGGCAACUCUGAUCCAGCCAAUGCCGCGUGAAAGGACUAAAGGCCCUAAUGGGCUGUAAAACUUCUUUAGACGCAGAGCAAAUAAGGGCCACGCGUGGUCCGAUGAGAGUAUGCGUAGAAAUAAAGCAUCGG
rnacentral:rRNA from 1 species